rfam:Candidatus Yonathbacteria bacterium RIFCSPLOWO2_01_FTLL_47_33b rifcsplowo2_01_scaffold_17381, whole genome shotgun sequence.
GAAUAGACGGGGACUUGCACAAGCGGUGGAUCAGGUGGCUUAAUUCGAUGGUAAACGAAGAACCUCACCAGGGUUUGAAACUCAUAGGAAAGACCAAGGAAACUCGGUAACUCCGCAAGGAUCUAUGAGCAGGUGAUGCAUGGCCGUCGUCAGUUCGUGGUUUGAACUGUCCCCUUAAGUGGGUCAACGAACGCAACCCUCGUUGUCUGUUAUAUGUGUCAGACGAGACUGCCCCCGCCUUUGCGCACGAAGUGCGCAGCUGGUAGCUGGUAGGUUGUAGCUGUUAGGAAUUCCUAAAAGCUACAACCUAAAAGCUAAAAGCUGUGUUCGCUUCGCGAAUAAAGGCGGGGGAGGAAGGAGAGGAUGACGCCAGGUCAGCAUGUCCCUUUGAUACCCUGGGCUGCACACUUGAUACAAUGGCCACUACAACGGGUCGCGACGAGGUAACUCUGAGCUAAUCCUAAGAAAGGUGGCCCCAGUUCGGAUUGGGGGCUGAAACUCGACCCCAUGAAGUUGGAAUCGCUAGUAAUCGCGGGUCAGCUAUACCGCGGUGAAUACGUUCUCAAGUCUUGUACUCACCGCCCGUCAUGUCAAGGGAGCCGAGAGUGCCCGAAGUCCCACCUUGUGUGGGCCUAAGGUAAGCUUGGUGACAAGGACAAAGUCGUAACAAGGCACGGCUAGCGGAAGCUGGUCGUGAAUCAAUUCAAAA